GUUCCUAUGUGGUGCUGGGAAAGUUGAAAUGUUCAGCUGGCCGCUAACUGUGUUCUUCAGCUGCUGGGUGCCCAACGUGACCGCCGCAGAGUCUGAAGUGUGAGCGCUCUCAGCUGCAGCUGAAAUCUGUAGGAGUUGCCUGUUCAAAGCCCUCAAAUGCUUGACAGACAGAAAACGGGAUGAUCACACCUAUUCCCUAUGGGUACGGAAGAGCAACGUGGAUGUUACAGAUGGUUUCAGGCACAGCCUAAUCCCCAAAACUAACAGAGUAUUACAGAAAAACAGCACCACAAGCUCAGUGCCCCUCCAAGCCUAGCACGCAAGGUGGCUGCCUGCCCCUAAACCCAGCCUUCCUGUAAGGAGUGAGAGUGGGGAUUGGAAGUGACCUGGCUGUGGGGAUUGAGUCACAAGAAGCGGCAGAGGACUGAAGUGACCAUGGGCAGGGGGCAUUAGAUGAAGAGAGCCUGCUGUGCCACACCCAGCCCAUGAGGGGGCAAGCCAGAAGGGAGCCCAUUUGUCUACAGGGGGAUUGACUUUGUUGCAGUGGAGGAUUUUAAA